AAAGUUAGAAAAAUUAAAGAGAGAUCAACUCAAUCUUUAUCAAAUUAAAUUAAAGUUUAUUUUAAAACACAAACAACUAGUUCAUAGAAACAAUAACUUAUUAGUACACAAACAAGAUCUUACUUAAUACAUAAAAAUAAGGUUUUACAUAGCACGAAGAUUAAAAACAUAGGAACAACAUGAAAUUUUUUCAAAAUGACAUAGACAUUGAUUAACAAAGACAUGAACUAGUUUCGGGUAUUUUUCAACCAUCCAUCAAGGUAAACUUGUUUGGAGUCGGGAGUGGAUUUUGUUUUCUAAGCUCGGAUAUCUUUCAACCAUCCGUCAAGAUAAACCUGAUUAGAAUCAGAGGUAGAUUUUGUUGUCUCAUCUCUAAUGUCUUUUAACCAUCCAUCAAGGUAAACUUGAUUAGAGUCAGAGAGGGAUUUUGUUUUUUCAGCUCGAAUAUCUUUCAACCAUCCAUCAAGGUAAACUUGGUUAGAGUAAGAGGGGGAUUUUGUUUUUUCAGCUCAGGUGUCUUUCAACCAACCAUCAAGAUAAACUUAUAAUUGGUUGGAGUCAGGGGUAGCUUUUGUUCUCUCAGUUCGGGAAUCUUUCAACCAUCCAUCAAGGUAAACUUGAUUCGAGUCAGACAUGGUUUUUGUUUGCUUAGCUCGGGUAUCUUUUAACCAUCCAUCAAGGUAAACUUGGUUGGAGUCAAAGGUAGAUUUGUCUUUCUCAGCUCGGGUAUCUUUCAACCAUCCAUCAAGGUAAACUUGGUUGGAUUCAGAGGUGGAUUUUGCUUUCUCUGCUCUGGUAUCUUUCAACCAUCCAUCAAGGUAAACUUGGUGGGAGUUAGGAAUUGACUUUUCUUUCUCAGCUCUGAUAUCUUUCAACCACCCAUCAAGAUAAACUUGGUUUGUGUCACUUGUAGAUUUUGCUUUCUCAGCUCGAGUAUCUUUCAACCAUCCAUCAAGGUAAACUUGGUUGGAUCCAGAGGUGGAUUUUUCUUUCUCUGCUCUAGUAUCUUUCAACCAUCCAUCAAGGUAAACUUGGUUGGAGUUAGGUAUUGACUUUUCUUUCUCAGCUCUGAUAUCUUUCAACCAUCCAUCAAGAUAAACUUGGUUGGUAUCACCUGUAGAUUUUGCUUUCUCAGCUCGAGUAUCUUUCAACCAUCCAUCAAGGUAAACUUGGUUGGAUUCAGAGGUGAAUUUUGGUUUCUCUGCUCUGGUACCUUUCAACCAUCCAUCAAGGUAAACUUGGUUGGAGUUAGGUGUGGACUUUUCUUUCUUGGCUCUGAUAUCUUUCAACCAUCCAUCAAGAUAAACUUGAUUGGAGUUACCAGUAGAUUUUGUUUUCUCAACUCGAGUAUCUUUCAACCAUCCAUCAAGGUAAACUUGGUUGGAUUUAGAGGUGAAUUUUGGUUUCUCUGCUCUGAUAUCUUUCAACCAUCCAUCAAGAUAGACUUGAUCGGAAUCCUGGGAGGAUUUGGUUUUCUCUGCCCGAGUAUCUUUCAACCAUCCAUCAAGGUAAACUUGGUUAGAGUUAGCAAUGUGUUUUUGAUUCUUCAAUGGAUUUUUGAGCCAACCAUCAAGGUAAGGUUGAU
rnacentral:lncRNA from 1 species